UUGGUAACCCCCCAAAGUCCGAAGCCAGGCGGAGGCCCGCAGGACGCCUCCCUUGGGAGUUGAGGCUGUUUCUUGCUGCUGGAGGCCUGGGCGGCCUGGGCUGGCGCCUGUUUUCGGAAGCGACCUCGAGAGAAUCGCCCUGGAGCUACGCAGAUCCCCACGGUUUUCAGGCCUCAGUUCUCCAGCCCCGGUGCAGGCCGGGAGCGUCCUCUCCGCGCGGUGCACCCCGGGAGGCGCUGAGGCGUUUGGGCGCCGGGCAGGGCGAUGAGAGUAGCCCCCAGAAACAAGCUCUCUGGAGAAAGCAGGUGGAAGGCCCUGUGUGAUCCUCUCCCCCGCCCUUCCUCAUCACUAAUCCAAAGUCAGUGUGAGUGGCCGCGGCUCCUAGCGCCUGGACCUCUAUCUCAGGCCAGGCCCUGAGUCAGGCUCGUCGCGUCGCCCAGGUGGUUGGCAUGUCAGUAGCUCUGGAUAGCACAGAAGUCUCAUCGUGCUGAAUGUGGCUGGGAUCUGUGGCCCAUUUUACAACUACAAGGCAUUGCUUCCUCCAAAAUGUUAAUAAGGACCUGGAAUUUAAACUUUGAAGGCUGCACUCUGGAAUGCCAUUUGAAAACCAAAGUGAGAGAGGUAAUGGAGAUAUACUAGCCAUAUAGAUUACCUUCCAUGAUCUGAUCCUCACAUACUGAUUUAAAUAUUUGACCUUUAUGCUUGGUUGGCAUUGUGUAUGUUCCACUAUUUGCUAUCUUGUUGUCCAGAUGGGCUUAUAUGAUUUCCUUACUAUCUUAAAAACUUUUUGAGGUUAGUGAGUAUGUCUUAUGGAACUUGAGAUUCUUAGUGCCUCAGAUAGUGACUGCAAUGAUGUCUGUUGAACAAAUGGAUAGAUGGAUGAAUGAAUGACUGUUGCAUUGGAUGGGAUCACAAUGCAAACAAUUUUCAUGGUCAGAUAGUAAUAAGAAUGUGGGAAGAGUCCAAUAAAAUACAGUACAGCAUGGGGGCCUAUGACGUAGCUUGCUUAUGCACAUUUAAAUUAAUUUUGGUUUAUAAAAGAACCGUGUUGAGACACUUAGGAAGGUUACUAGUUUGUGAUUAUUAUAUUAAGUCAUCUUUUGAAAGAAGAUCUCAACUUAGAGAUAAAAGACUAAGGUCUGCUAUACUAGCCUUGUGACCUUUCUAUGCCUAGUUUUUAUUUGGAAAACUAGGAAAAUAAUAACUUUUUUCUUUUGAGAUGGAGUCUCACUCUGUGGCCCAGGCUGGAGUGCAAUGGUACGACCUCCACUCACUGCAACCUCUGCCUUCCAGGUUCAAGCGAUUCUCCUGCCUCAGCCUCUUUAGUAGCUGGGAUUAAAGACAUGCACCACCAUGCUUUGUUUUCAGUAGAGAUGGGGUUUCACUGUGUUGGUCAGGCUGAGCUUGAACUCCUGACCUUGUGAUCUGUGGGACUUGGCCUCCCAAAUAAUAACUUUUUCAACUUUUUGGACUAAGUACUGGAGUCAUUGUGAUGAUCAAAAGAGAUAGUGUAUCAAGAUAUUUUUUUAAAUGUAGAGCAAGAACAAAUGUUAGCUAAGUUGUGAAUCUCUAGAGAAUGAAUUGUGGAGGACAUUUAAAAUGCAAAUAAACAGAAAGUCACAGUGAUAAGGGCUCAUUGGCAAUUAGGGACCAUAAUGAAGAUGUCUGGUAGUGGUUUCUAAAAUUCAGGGGAUUUGAUUUUGGAAGAUAGUGUGGAACCCAGGGAUUAGAACUGUUUGGGACUUUCUAAAGAUUUUGUGAGGUUCAAAAAGACUUUCUACGUAGAGAAAACACAUUGGAAAUUCCUGGUUGAAUGACAAAUGGGUCAGAGACUGCCUAAACUAGAAGUUUAUGUACCUGCAGAGGUUAACCAUGUAUCUCCCAAUGAAUUUGUGCUGAUUCUUGGUCUUCCCUUCACAGCCAACCCUUUAGGAACAGAAAGUUUAAAACCCUUCUGUGGGGAAGAGUUUUUUGAACUAUGGCACUAACAUUCUUCUUCCCCAAACAGGGGGAGUACCUAGACAAUUUUUUUUUUUUUAAUGUAGAGAGAACAGACAACUUGAGUGAGAGCAGAGCAGUAGUAGACCCUUUAUUCUGAUAGCAAGAGAAUGGAAAAGAUGUCCUAUGGAUAUUCAUUAAAUGCCUAUUUAGUGAUUACCUGUUAUGUGCCAAGCACUGUGGCAGGCACUUGGGAAGCACUCUGAUAAACAGAACAGACCAGUCCUUUCCUUCCUCAUCCCUUGAUGCUUAUAGGCAGAUGGCUGGCUGAGAUAGACGUUAAGCAACUUACUCUAAAACUAGUUUUUCCCACAGAUGGAAAUAGAUGAUAAUAUGAAAAUACUUGUGAACCAAUUAUCUGAUGUAGAAUAUCAUUUUCCAUCUUUUCUCUCCAAAAUAAUUUUAUACAUUCUUUAAAAAGAAUUUUAAAAUGUUUCUUUAUUUUUCAAGGUUACUGCUACAUCUGAUUAUUUGAAAAUAUAUUAUAGAAUUUAAUUCAACCCUGAAAAUAGGCAUAGGUAAAUUCUCAAAAAUCUCAAAGUAAAUAAAUAAAAAGCAAAAGAAAUAAGAACAAGAUAUAAUGAUAAAUAUUUUAACUAUAUAUCUUCUUUUAAACCUUUUCAUUCAGAUAAAUUUUAGUGAUUUCUUAUUAGGUAAAUCCCUGUUAAAACAUAUUUCAUCUUACUUAUCUCAUAUGAUUUCAUUUGUUGUAGGUGCUCAAAAAAUAUUUGUUCCAUAAUUAAAUAAAUUCAUGGUCAGAUCCUGAAGGUAAAAAUAUAGUGGUGGAACAAAGUGAUUAUACUUUCCUCCUAUAGGCUGUGACCCAAUAGAGCUGAUGACUGUAAUUUUAAUUGAAAAAAACAACAUAAAAAACCUGAUAGUCUACAGGAUAGGAAGAAUUUAAAACAAAAACACCUUAAAGGCAAAUAAACACUAUUUAGAAGUUGCUAGUUUCAGAGUCAGUUGCACAUCUCAGGAUGCUUAAUCUUAAGUAUUUAUUACCUAUCUCACUUUCAGUGGAGAUAUAUUAUUUACAAAACAAUUUUACAAAGAAGUUUUCUACCUCUGUCAAUUAUUUCCAGCUACUAGCUAAUCUGGUAGUUUAGAUCAGAGAAAAAUAAACUUGACUUGUUUGUCAUGAUGUAGUUGAAGCUUUCAUAUAUGGGAAUGUAUUUUGUAUUACUAAGUAACUAUCAAAUCACAAAUUCCAUCACUUCAUACUCUUUCAAAAUAUUUUUGGGCAAUUGGGUUUUUAUUUCAGGGUGUCUGAUAAAGGACUUAGGCUUUCUUUCUUGCUAAACUUUAUACUGUCUUCUAAAUAUUUUUGAGAAUUUGCUUUCUCAAAAAGAGUAUUGCCUAUUUUUCUCUGUGUUGAGUUACCAUUCACUUGUUUUGCUUAUAAUAUUUUCCAGUUCGUGGAUUUACAUGUGACAAAUACUCCUCAUAGAUUACUUUUUUGUGGCUCUUAAGAAAUAAAAUAUUUAAAAAUAAUUUUGACAUAUUAAUAAAUGUUGACAUUGUAAAGAGAGAAAAAAGGAAAUUUGUGUUUUAAGGUGAAGCACAGUUAUCUCUUAUUUCUGUGAAGUUUCUUAAAAUGUUUAUCUACCCUAAAAAGAACCAACAGGAAAUUUAAAACUCUAACUUGAAAGCUUUUGAAAAUUCAGGGGAUAACUAUAUACUGCUGCGAUUUGCCAGCCAGAAAUUCAGAACUCGUCAUGUUUCAGCUCUGCUGGUUAAGACUUUCUAAGUCAUAUAUUCCAUUCAUCUAGACAUUUUUCACUAUUUUAAUUGUUGAUGGGAGGUGCAUUUAAGAAAGUAUACAAUACAUGUCUUAUAUCUUCAGACGUUUGCUUUUCUUUGGCUUAGACUCUGGUUUUGAAAAGUCUUCAAUGGAAAGGUUAGGUGGGACAGUCUGUUGUUCUCCUUUAAAAUGAUGAAUGAGCUCUCUGGAGCAUACAGUUAGAGUGGAGAUCUUUCCUGGACUCUGAUAUCCUCUUCUGAUUAGGAUCUCUGAUGGUCAGUUGUUGUGGCAGCAGAUAAUUGACCAAAGGCAUAUGUAUUGGUGAUUCUAGAGACUUUCCAGACUUUUAGAAAUGGAAUCUCAAUGUAUUGCUCGGGCUUGACUUGAACUCCUGGGCGCAAAUGAUCCUCCUGAAUAGCUAUGGCUACAGGUGCAUGCAUUACCUCACUGGCUUUGGUGUUUUUUUAAGUUAAGUUGUUACAGCCAGUACAUGCAAUUUUAAACAUGUUCCUGCUGAUCCUUUUAGGGUAGAUCUCUAGUAUGUUUUUUCCCCUCUAAGUAAGUUUAAAAUUUAAGUAUAAGAAAAUGCUUUCUUUCAAAUCAAGCAAUUUACAAGUAAAUAUUGUAUUUGAUAUAUUUAAAAUAUUCACAGUUAACUAAUUCAUAUCUUUAAAGUUUUAUUAAAAUGUAAUGGGUCAAGUGUCAUUAUUAUUUAUCUUUCAGUCGGAUAAUUAGAUCUACUGUUAGAUUUCCCCUAGAUAUUAUAAUUUAAUCAGAAUUUUAUCUUUGGAAAUGAUUUUUAGAGAUCUGAGGGAAAGGAUAAAGUAAAACACCACACCCUUAAUAUUCAAGUCUAACUUAUUUUGGCUGCUUUGCUAUUGUAUCCAUUAUUAAAGAGGCUUUUUCUUUUCUUUUGUGGACACCAAGCCAAAAAUAUUAGCAAGAUUUAAAUUACAAGUAAAACAUCUUCAAUUUUAGGGCUUUUUUUUUCCUCCUCUUUUCCUUGGAAAAAAAUUUUUCAAUAAUACUGUUGAUAAAAUAUCUUAAAUUAUCAAAGAGAAAUGCUAAGUAGAGUAUAAUUUUAGAUUCACUAAAAUUAUAGUGAAAAUAACCAAAAUUUCAUUUAUAUUACAUGAAUGAAAGGUUGAUAGUUAUUCCAUUUGGAUAUUAAAAAAAAACUGUGUUGUGGAAAUUGUUAUUACGGUGUUUUGAGAAAAUUGGUUAGGAAUGUAUCCUGAAUUUAUCUAUGAGUUUAUAAAAGUAAUUGAUGACGAUUAGAGCAUAAAGAUAUAUUUUAAUAGUUUGUUUCCUGUACAUCUUUAUUUUUGACAAAAGAUUUUUAUUUAUUUUUUUGAGAUGGAGUUUCGCUCUUGUUACCCAGGCUGGCGUGCAAUGGCGCGAUCUCGGCUCACCGCAACCUCCGCCUCCUGGGUUCAAGCAAUUCUCCUGCCUCAGCCUCCCUAGUAGCUGGGACUACAGGCGCGCACCACCAUGCCUAGCUAAUUUUUGUAUUUUUAGUAGAGACAGGGUUUCACCAUGUUGACCAGGAUGGUCUCGAUCUCUUGACCUUGUGAUCUACCCGCCUCGGCCUCCCAAAGUGCUGGGAUUAUAGGCGUGAGCCAUCGUGCCCAGUCGACAAAAGAUUUUUAAAAUGAGUCUUUACACAGGGUAAAAUAGCAAAGAGAGUCAGUGAUUUUGUUUUUUACCAACAUCUUAAUUCUCCAUGUCAAACUAUUAUGAGAGAGGAAAAUACAGUAUUUAGGUAGUAAAGAUUUACUUCUGUUACUGAGAUGACAAAGUAAAAUAUUUUCUGGGGACAACAAAAUAACCACUUUCUAAAAAUUGUUAUUUUGGGGGAUAUUUUCAUUGUGAAAGUGAAAGUGUAAAAAACAAUAAAAAUAAAUAGAGAUUGUUUUCAAUAUUAUGAGUUUAUUGAAUUU